CCUUUUCAACUACCAAUUGACAACCAGGCUUUACUAGAAUCUAUAGAGCAGCAUUUAUAUAGAAGAUGAGAAAAAUAUUGAGCUUUUGGCUCAACGAUUAUACCUUUGUGGAGGGGACAAUACCCACAAAUCUGUUUUUUUAUUAAUGAAAAAACUGUUUGCCAGAGAUGUAGCAAUGCUCUAUUCUGGAUCAGGAAAGAAGGGAAAAUUAUCAUUUCAGAAGUUGUCAUAAGCUGUUCGUUUUCCAGGCGCCACGGAUGCAGAUAUUAACAAAUUCAUA